rnacentral:tRNA from 2 species
GCUCCCGUAGUUCAGGUGGAUAGAACAAUAGUUUCCUAAACUGUUGACACAGGUUCGAAUCCUGUCGGGGGCA